rnacentral:lncRNA from 1 species
UCUCGAAUACAUCCAUGUGGUGUUAAGCCUCGUGAAUGAAAAGAUGAAAAAGUAGGAAUAGAAUUGGUCCAGUUGAAAUGAGAAAGGUUUCGGGGACGAAACCUCUUUUAAGGGGGGUAGAUUUGUAACGCCCAAAAAAUGAAAACUCAAUAAAACAAGUGAGGAUAAAUAACAAACUUAACAUAAUUAAGGAUUUAUGGCAAGAUGGUAGUGAAAUGUAGUUUAAAGAUUAGAUUUGUAAUUAGCAACUAAGUGAAGGGGGUAAAGUGCAAAGUGGUUAAACUUAAAUUAGUUAAAAAAAAAAACAAACUAACCCCCAAACACAGUGAGUGUGUCUGGGGGAACGAUCGAACAAGGAAGGAGGAGGGGGAAACCCUAAACUCAAGAAAUCAAGCAAUUGAAGCCUAAAAUCAUAAGAAAAUCCAGUGCAUGAGCCAUCUUAUCGAUCAUCUAAGCAUACCUAGUGAAGUGCUUGAAAGAAUAAGAACCAUGCCAAGAUGGACCAACUCAUGGGAAGCAAACGGGUCAAAGAGGAGGCAAAGAAACUAGCAUAAACAUGACGAGCACGAGGUUAUGAAUGUCGGACUUUCAAAGUGUUGAUAUAAUAAUGAAACGGUUGAAUCUUGAAAGGAUAAUCGGAUUGAAGUAACUUAUGCGGUUAGAAUAUGCUGUGGACGUUUUAGUUUAUACAACAUUUUAUGUUUGGUCGUCAUCAUCUACCAACGGGUAAAUCCUCAAUUCAGGCGACUUGGAGAAUCGGAGCGAGCGCGUGUUCAUG